GAUGGUAUAGAGCUUGGCAGUAGAGCACAUGCCCAGCAUGCACGAGGUUCUUGGUUCAAUUCCUAGUAUCUUCA
rnacentral:tRNA from 1 species